rnacentral:misc_RNA from 1 species
GAUGAAGAACGUAGCGAAAUGCGAUAAGUAAUGUGAAUUGCAGAAUUCAGUGAAUCAUCGAAUCUUUGAACGUACAUUGCGCCCGCCAGUAUUCUGGCGGGCAUGCCUGUUCGAGCGUCAUUUCAACCAUCAAGCCCCCGGCUUGUGUUGGGGACCUGCGGCUGCCGCAGGCCCUGAAAACCAGUGGCGGGCUCGCUAGUCACUCCGAGCGUAGUAAUACAUCUCGCUCAGGGCGUGCUGCGGGUUCCGGCCGUUAAAAAGCCUUAUUUACCCAAGGUUGACCUCGGAUCAGGUAGGAAGACCCGCUGAACUUAAGCAUAUCAAUAAGCGGGGA